UACGGAAGGUGCAAGCGUUAUCCGGAUUCACUGGGUUUAAAGGGUGCGCAGGCGGGAAAUUAAGUCAGUGGUGAAAGCCCCGAGCUCAACUUGGGAACUGCCAUUGAUACUGAUUUUCUUGAAUAUAGUUGAAGCUGGCGGAAUACAACAUGUAGCGGUGAAAUGCAUAGAUAUGUUGUAGAACACCAAUUGCGAAGGCAGCUAGCUAAACUAUUAUUGACGCUGAGGCACGAAAGCGUGGGGAGCGAAC
rnacentral:rRNA from 1 species